GGAGUAGAUUAUAUUAUUAGAAAUAUAAUAUGACUUUCAAUCAAUCUGGUUAAUACCAUUUCCCAUUAGGUAAUGUAAUCACCUACCCAUUAACCCGGUGCUUCCAGUUAACUUUUUGCUUUUACAUGGUACGGGAACAGUACAAAUGCGUUUCACGAAUAUUUAAUUAUUAUUAUUUCACGAAGUAAAAGUCUUCAACAGUGAUCGGCAUUUGGCAUUACCGUUACAUCAGCCCCUAACAAACGAAAUGUACAACUGAUGAAAAUUGAAGUUAUUUUGGAGCAGCAGCAUAGUAAUGUGACUUGAAAGUAACUGAUUGCAAGUACAGUAUAUUGCAGAAAAAUGUGGCGGUCUUCCCUAUCCUUUGUUUGCCAAACCUGACACAUUUCACUGCAACCUCCUGUACAUGAUGG